rnacentral:rRNA from 1 species
GACCAAGGAGUCUGACCCGUGCGCGAGUCGCAGGGUCUUGUUCAGGCCCCGUGGCGAAGCGAAAGCGAAUCCGAGACUUCCGGCUCCCCCAGCGGGAGAAAGGAAAGCAUCGGAGGCCCGGCGGUUCGGUCGGUUUCUGCUCGGCAUUUUUUUCGCGGCGGCGACGUCGCGGAACCGGGCGUCCGGCCCGUCGGAGUCGGAGCGCACGAGUCGGUACCCGAAAGAUGGUGAACUAUGCCUGGCCAGGGCGAAGCCGGAGGAAACUCCGGUGGAGGCCCGAAGCGGUUCUGACGUGCAAAUCGAUCGUCGGAGCGGAGUAUAGGGGCGAAAGACUAAUCGAACCAUCUAGUAGCUGGUUCCCUCCGAAGUUUCCCUCAGGAUAGCUGGCAUUCAGACGAUAUCAGUCUCUUCUCGUAGAGAGAAUGAAUAGAGGCCCUGGGGCCCUAGACGACCUCAACCUAUUAUCAAACUACUACGAGGUGCGUUGGGUCGGGUCCUGCCGUACGGAGGACCGCGACGUGCGUGGAUGUGCGAGUGCCGUGUGGGCCACUUUUG